rnacentral:rRNA from 1 species
CUCUUCCCAUUCCGAACAGAGAAGUCAAGCCCGCCAGAGCCGAUGGUACUGCGGUAAAACGUGGGAGAGUAGGUCGGUGCCCAAU